CCUCUCUCUACGCAGCCCUGGUUUAUGAGGGAAAAUGUAUCGUCUCGGCCAACAGACUUUCUCCAAGAUCGCUUUCAAUUCCUCUUUAUCGACUGUGCCGCGGGAAUAUUAUCAUUUUACGAGACAUUACAGUAAAAGCUGGUCGUGUAUUGGCUGAUUUUUGAUCACAUUAGAUAUUUAAUCUGCACGAAAAUGCCGAGGAACAAGAAGAAGAACAGCAGGGGAGGGCAGCAUGGACAUGUGCAUCCUUUCAGUGAUGAGGAUGCCUCCAUUGAGACCCUCAGUCAUUGCAGCAGCUUCAGUGACAUCAUGAGUGUCGCAGAUGACGGUGGAGAGGCCAAUGAGGACGCAGCCCAGGAGGAUUUCCAGUACAAGUUGAAAGGGUUCAUAGACAGCACGGUGGACAAGAGUGCUAAGACCAGACAAGGAGCACUGGACGGGCUUAAGACGGCAAUGGCCACACGGAUCCUCUAUGAGUUCAUCUCUGAGAGAAGGAUGACCAUCACAGACAGCAUCGAACGCUGCCUGAAGAAAGGUAAAGGCGAUGAGCAGCGAGCGGCCGCCUCUUUAGCCUGCCUGCUGUGUAUCCAGCUGGGCUCGGGCAUCGAGAGCGAGGAGGUGUUCAAGAGCCUGAAACCCAUCUUCAAAAACAUCCUGGCAGAUGGAUCAGCGAACAUUCAGGCCAGACAAGCAGUGGCGACGAGUCUGGGCCUCUGUACUUUAGUAGCUGAAGAUGACAUUUUGGAUGUGCAAGCUACCAUGGAGUGCUUUGAGAACCUGUUCACCCGGUCCUAUGCGAGAGCGGACGGUACGUGUCCUCUGGUUAAUCCCCAGACAAGCGCUCUCCACACCAACGCUCUGCUCUCCUGGGCACUGCUGCUCACCAUCUGUACCAGCAACCAGCUUAGAGACAUCCUGCGCAAACACUUGCCUAAACUGCCCAGAUUGCUGGAAAGUGAGGAUGUGAACAUGAGGAUAGCUGCAGGGGAGACCAUCGCCCUGCUCUUUGAGCUGGCCAGAGACAUGGACGCUGAGUUUGAGUUUGAAGGCUGGGAGGAACUGUGCGACAAACUGAAUGCAUUGGCUACAGACUGUAACAAACACAGAGCCAAGACGGACAAGAGGAAGCAGCGCUCAGUGUUUAGGGACGUGCUCAAGGCUGUUGAGGAGGGCGACUUUCAGACUGAGACAAUCCGCUUUGGGACUGAGCGUAUGACCAUCGACAGCUGGGUCAGAAAGAGAACCUACGAUGCCUUCAGGGAGUUUGUGGGCUCUGGGAUGAACUACCACCUCCAGGUAUUUAUGUCAACUUCAUCAGUUGUGAAGUAUCGGUGGAGCGCAGCACAGAUUUAUGAGCCAGUGAAAUUAAAAACUUUGAAAGCGUGCAAGUCGACCUUUACUUUAAUUACACUGCAGAAUCCUGAGUUUGGGUUGGGUUGUUUAGUUUUCUCCUGCACUGACACAGCACUAAAACUUAAUGAAGAUCUGUAGGACUUCUCCAUGCAGGAAGACAACACUAACGACUUGAUUUAGGAUAAUGAUGCAUAUUGUGGGGGAAGAAGUCAUUACAGGUCUCUGGUUGGAAAUUAGUCUGCAUUAUGGCAGGCAGCCAGUGCUAAUGCAACAUUUCUGGAGUAAAGAUGACACAGUGGAACAUAGUAUGCUUGUGAUGAUGGUUUCUUAGUGAAGUAUUUUUGUCUUUUAAAGGGGAAUGAAUUCAUCAGAGACGUGUUCGAACUGGGACCACCCAUGUUGGUUGAUUCGGCGACCAUGAAGGCCAUGAAGAUCUCUCGCUUUGAAAGGCAUCUCCACAACUCUGCUGCAUUCAAGGCUCGGACCAAGGCCAGGAGCAAAUUCAGGGACAAGCGGGUGGACGUGGGAGAGUUUUAAUCUUUUUGACACUAGGAAUAUAUUUAUCAAGCCUCACUGCUUAUUAGAUGAACUGUCCCCAUAUUGCUUUGCCACUUAACUCCCCUGAAGUCUAUUUAGUAUCAAACCCUCACUGUCCAUAGUGUUGUAAAGCAGCUUUGCUCUCAGAUGCUGACAUAGCCACAUUGACACCUACAGGAGGUGGGUGUUUUGAUAAUUCAACAAUAGUUUUUCAGGUAGAGUCUAACUUAAUGUCUCCACACAUGAACAGUGGUGUUGUACAUAUAGUGUAUAUUUUUCUCUCUCAUUAAUAUCUAUUAUGUGGCCUUUCAUGUUUUUGAACAUAUGUAUUAAGUUAUGUAAUUUUGGCAGCAUUUUUUUUGUUUGCACCUUUAUAGUUUUGUUUAGUUCAUUCCAAUGUUAAAACACAUCUCUACAUUCUAAUCCUUGUAUGAAUUUGUAUUUCGUUGCACUACCUUCCUAACCCAUAGCAGGUUAUUAUUGUAGAUCAACGGUGAAUAUUGUGUUUUCUUUUGGUAUUUGUUAUGUACUCUAAAGGGCAAGGAGGGUGAAAUAAACACUGAAAAGCUGAAAGAA